UACGGAGGGAGCUAGCGUUGUUCGGAAUUACUGGGCGUAAAGCGCACGUAGGCGGCGAUUCAAGUCAGAGGUGAAAGCCCGGGGCUCAACCCCGGAACUGCCUUUGAAACUAGAUUGCUAGAAUCCUGGAGAGGUUAGUGGAAUUCCGAGUGUAGAGGUGAAAUUCGUAGAUAUUCGGAAGAACACCAGUGGCGAAGGCGACUAACUGGACAGGUAUUGACGCUGAGACGCGAAAGCGUGGGGAGCGAACAGG
rnacentral:rRNA from 1 species